UACAGAGGUCUCAAGCGUUGUUCGGAUUCAUUGGGCGUAAAGGGUGCGUAGGUGGCGCCGUAAGUCGGGGUGUGAAAUUUCGGAGCUUAACUCCGAAACUGCAUUCGAUACUGCGGUGCUUGAGGACUGGAGAGGAGACUGGAAUUUCAUGGUGUAGCAGUGAAAAUGCGUAGAGAUCAUGAGGAAGACCAGUGGCGAAAGGCGGGGUCUCUGGACAGUUUCCUGACACUGAGGCACGAAAGGCCCAGGGGGGAGCAAAACGGGG
rnacentral:rRNA from 1 species